rnacentral:rRNA from 1 species
AGUGAACGCUGGCGGCGUGCCUAAUACAUGCAAGUCGAACGGAGUGGCGCACGGGUGAGUAAUGUAUAGCUAAUCUGCCCUCCACUAGAGGACAACAGCUGGUAACGACUGCUACUACUCUAUAUUGUAGGAUGAGGCUAUAUUGUAUCAGCUAGUUGGUGAGGUAAUGGCUCACCAAGGCUAUGACGCAUAACUGGUCUGAGAGGAUGAUCAGUCAAACUGGAAGUGAGGCACGGUCGGGACUCCUACGGGAAGCAGCAGUAGGGGAUAUUGCUCAAUGGUGGAAGCCCGGAAGCGGCAACGCGGCGUGGAGGAUGACAAUUGGGGGGGCGUAGACUCCUUUUGUUAGGGAAGCGGUACCUAACGAAUAAGCACCGGCUAACUCCGUGCCAGCAGCCGCGGUAAUUC